UAGUGAAUGAAACAUCCUACUUACCAUUUACAUGCCCUGGAAAACCUGAAUGCUGAGCUAUAAGGCACUUACUUAGACAACAACUUGCCAUGUUUGAAAAGCAGCCCUAAGACUGUACCGAACCCACAUACCAGCAAAUACCAACUGCUCUCCAAACCAGCCUAUCGUAGUCUAUUUGCUUUAUGUAACAGUGUCUUUUCACUAAGAGACGAAGUAUCUGCUUUAAAGAUUAACUUUAUCAGACUCUCAUGAAACACUACUAAUAGGAAUGGACAAGAUGUUAAGAAACUCCAUAGGGUUUCUGAAUAACCCUUACUCCUUAGGAUUUUUUUUUUGUCACUGUAUCAGAGAACAACCAUUUUCUACAACCUUCUGGCAACAAGUUUUAUGGGUGCCUUAUCUGUCUCUCUAAAAUUGUUCCUUUGACUUCAACCUCCACCCAUGACACUGCCAUUAUCAUGCUCAGCCUUUGUCUUCCAGUGAUUUAACGCAACACCUUUUCAACACUUCUCUCCUACAUGUGCAGAACAUAAGAACUACAGAGACGAAAGCAGAGCAACUCUUAGCAGAAAAAUUGACAUACAGUAAGACUUAAGAGAUGAACAUAAAGAACAAUAAAACUAACAGAGUUUUCAGCACCUUCCUUACAAGAAUGCAGAAGAAAAAGGAAGAUUAGUAAGUUUUAUAAAUUCUAGAAAUCAUAUUUCAGCACUUUUAAUAGAGGAAUGCACUGCCACAGAAAAACUGAGGUAAAGAACUUGAUGCAAAUCAAAUUAAAAUGAGGCCACAUUUCCUAAACCAAGAAUAGUAUUUCUAAGUAUUCUGUCAUAGUAAGUAUAUUGGUAAGCCUUACAGAGAUUUAAACUUCAGUAAUAUUUCUCUUAUGAAGUUACAAAGAUAACUUCCAGUUGAGAGUGAAAAACUCUGAAGGGAUAUUAAAUAUUAAGAUGGUAUUUUUGCCCUCACUUCACAUCAUAUUUCAAAGACUAAAAAUUCAAUGAGUUCUGGAUCAUUAGUACAGUGAGAAAUGCCAUUUUCCUUUUUUCCCCUACCAUUACACAGAUUUUAAAAGGAGAUUUUUGUGCUUUAAAAGCUACAUUCUCCUAACACUUUUACGAAAACAGCAAGUUAAGAUCUUGUCCUCUGACUCCCAAACCGUUGCUGAAAGCAAGUGAAAAUUACUUGUGACAGUUACUUUUCAUAAAGGCAGCGUUUCCAAAGUGUAUCUGACACCCUUCUGCAAUGUAACAAGACCACUGAUGUGGUGCUUCAAUUUCAAAAGCAUAAGAGAAAUUGUUGAGAUGUCACUAGGAGCUAGACCUUCAAUAUAUAUUAAAUACAGCGUUGGAAAAAAAACCCCAAACCCGCAGCUAAAGGGACAUAUGCAAACCAAUUUUCAGUAAUGCUCUUCAAAAUCCUUUAUUCUCCCCGUGGCUUUCCUCCUUCCCUCCCUCCCGGUGACGUGAAUGGUAUUGUCUGUGCUCUCUUACUAAUGUAACCCUAGUGCAUGUGCUGCUGUACUGAAACAUCAAUAUCCUGCUCCUCAUCAUUGAGACUGCAUUGAACCC
rnacentral:lncRNA from 1 species